rnacentral:rRNA from 1 species
AGCAGCCGCGGUAAUUCCAGCUCCAAUAGCGUAUAUUAAAGUUGCUGCAGUUAAAAAGCUCGUAGUUGAAUUUCGGGACUAAUAUGUCGGUCGUGCCUCGGUACGUACUGGCUUAUUGGUUUCUCCUUUCUGAAGAACCAUGAUGUCAUUUAUUUGGUGUCGUGGGGAAUCAGGACUGUUACUUUGAAAAAAUUAGAGUGUUUAAAGCAGGCUCACGCUUGAAUACAUUAGCAUGGAAUAAUGAAAUAGGACGUUUGAUUCUAUUUUGUUGGUUUCUAGGAUCGACGUAAUGAUUAAUAGGGAUAGUUGGGGGCAUUAGUAUUCAAUUGUCAGAGGUGAAAUUCUUGGAUUUAUUGAAGACUAACUACUGCGAAAGCAUUUGCCAAGGAUGUUUUCAUUAAUCAAGAACGAAAGUUAGGGGAUCGAAGACGAUCAGAUACCGUCGUAGUCUUAACCAUAAACUAUGCCGACUAGGGAUCGGAUGAUGUUAAUUUUUAAUGACUCAUUCGGCUACCG